rnacentral:rRNA from 1 species
ACCAGCACGUUAUGGUGGGCACUCUAAGGAGGACUGCCGGUGGACAAACCGGAGGAAGGUGGGGGAUGACGUCAAGUCAUCCAUGGCCCUUACGGCCUGGGCUACACACGUGCUACAAUGGUCGGUACAAAGGGUUGCCAAGCCGCGAGGUGGAGCUAAUCCCAUAAAACCGAUCGUAGUCCGGAUCGCAGUCUGCAACUCGACUGCGUGAAGUCGGAAUCGCUAGUAAUCGUGAAUCAGAAUGUCACGGUGAAUACGUUCCCGGGCCUU